rnacentral:rRNA from 1 species
GAUGAACGCUGGCGGCGUGCCUAAUACAUGCAAGUCGAGCGAACAGACGAGGAGCUUGCUCCUUUGACGUUAGCGGCGGACGGGUGAGUAACACGUAGAUAACCUACCUAUAAUACUGGGAUAACUUCGGGAAACCGGAGCUAAUACCGGAUAAUAUAUUGAACCGCAUGGUUCAAUAGUGAAAGACGGCUUUGCUGUCACUUAUAGAUGGAUCCGCGCCGCAUUAGCUAGUUGGUAAGGUAACGGCUUACCAAGGCGACGAUGCGUAGCCGACCUGAGAGGGUGAUCGGCCACACUGGAACUGAGACACGGUCCAGACUCCUACGGGAGGCAGCAGUAGGGAAUCUUCCGCAAUGGGCGAAAGCCUGACGGAGCAACGCCGCGUGAGUGAUGAAGGUCUUCGGAUCGUAAAACUCUGUUAUUAGGGAAGAACAAAUGUGUAAGUAAAUAUGGACGUCUUGACGGUACCUAAUCAGAAAGCCACGGCUAACUACGUG